UAGAAUUUCGAAGGAAGAAGAGGAGUAGUACCGGAGGUUUCUUCAGUAUACAAUGUUGUUGUUCAGAUUCUGUGAUGCCAAUUAGAGGUGGUAGUGGUUCUGGGAAUGGCGUUGAUAAAGGUGAUGAUGGGAGGUUCGAUUCUAAGAAGAUCACUGCUAAUUAUAUGAGAACUCAAGCUUCUUCCCCAAUGCCCUUUGCAUCUCCUCAGUCUAGAUUUGUUUCAAAGCCAGAAAAAUUCUUUUCCCGAUGCACCCCAAGAA
rnacentral:misc_RNA from 1 species